AUUGAACGCUGGCGGCAGGCCUAACACAUGCAAGUCGAACGGUAGCGCAGAGAGCUUGCUCUCGGGUGACGAGUGGCGGACGGGUGAGUAAUGUCUGGGAAACUGCCCGAUGGAGGGGGAUAACUACUGGAAACGGUAGCUAAUACCGCAUAAUGUCGCAAGACCAAAGAGGGGGACCUUCGGGCCUCUUGCCAUCGGAUGUGCCCAGAUGGGAUUAGCUUGUUGGUGAGGUAAUGGCUCACCAAGGCGACGAUCCCUAGCUGGUCUGAGAGGAUGACCAGCCACACUGGAACUGAGACACGGUCCAGACUCCUACGGGAGGCAGCAGUGGGGAAUAUUGCACAAUGGGCGCAAGCCUGAUGCAGCCAUGCCGCGUGUGUGAAGAAGGCCUUCGGGUUGUAAAGCACUUUCAGCGGGGAGGAAGGCGAUACGGUUAAUAACCGUGUUGAUUGACGUUACCCGCAGAAGAAGCACCGGCUAACUCCGUG
rnacentral:rRNA from 1 species